UGAGGAAUAUUGGUCAAUGGGUGAGAGCCUGAACCAGCCAAGUAGCGUGAAGGAUGACUGCCCUAUGGGUUGUAAACUUCUUUUAUAAAGGAAUAAAGUCGGGUAUGUAUACCCGUUUGCAUGUACUUUAUGAAUAAGGAUCGGCUAACUCCGUGCCAGCAGCCGCGGUAAUACGGAGGAUCCGAGCGUUAUCCGGAUUUAUUGGGUUUAAAGGGAGCGUAGAUGGAUGUUUAAGUCAGUUGUGAAAGUUUGCGGCUCAACCGUAAAAUUGCAGUUGAUACUGGAUAUCUUGAGUGCAGUUGAGGCAGGCGGAAUUCGUGGUGUAGCGGUGAAAUGCUUAGAUAUCACGAAGAACUCCGAUUGCGAAGGCAGCCUGCUAAGCUGCAACUGACAUUGAGGCUCGAAAGUGUGGGUAUCAAACAGG
rnacentral:rRNA from 1 species